ACGGCUCAGUAACACGUGGACAACCUACCCUCAGCACGGGGAUAAACCCGGGAAACUGGGUAUAAUACCCGAUAGUUCUGGGAUGCUGGAAUGCUUCCAGGACAAAAGCUCCGGCGACUGAGGAUGGGUCUGCGGCCUAUCAGGUAGUAGUGGGUGUAAUGUACCUACUAGCCUACGACGGGUACGGGUCGUGAGAGCGAGAGCCCGGAGAUGGAUUCUGAGACACGGAUCCAGGCCCUACGGGGUGCAGCAGGCGCGAAAACUUUACAAUGCUGGCAACAGCGAUAAGGGGACCUCGAGUGCCAGGAUACAAUCUUGGCUGUCGUGAUGCCUAAAAAGCAUUACAUAGCAAGGGCCGGGCAAGACCGGUGCCAGCCGCCGCGGUAACACCGGCGGCUCGAGUGGUAACCGCUAUUAUUGGGUCUAAAGGGUCUGUAGCCGGCCGGAUAAGUCUUUUGGGAAAUCCAGCUGCUCAACAGUUGGGCUUUCAGAAGAUACUGUUCGGCUCGAGGCCGGGAGAGGUGAGAGGUACUUCAGGGGUAGGGGUGAAAUCUUGUAAUCCUUGAAGGACCACCAGUGGCGAAGGCGUCUCACCAGAACGGUCCUGACGGCAAGGGACGAAAGCUAGGGGCACGAACCGGAUUAGAUACCCGGGUAGUCCUAGCCGUAAACGAUACUCGCUAGGUGUCAGCCACGGUGCGACCGUGGUUGGUGCCGUAGGGAAGCCGUGAAGCGAGCCACCUGGGAAGUACGGCCGCAAAGCUGAAACUUAAAGGAAUUGGCGGGGGAGCACAGGAAUUGGCGGGGAGCAC
rnacentral:rRNA from 1 species